AGUGAACGCUGGCGGUAGGCCUAACACAUGCAAGUCGAACGGCAGCACAGUGAGAGCUUGCUCUUACGGGUGGCGAGUGGCGGACGGGUGAGGAAUACAUCGAAAUCUACUUUUUCGUGGGGGAUAACGUAGGGAAACUUACGCUAAUACCGCAUACGACCUACGGGUGAAAGCAGGGGAUCUUCGGACCUUGCGCGAUUGAAUGAGCCGAUGUCGGAUUAGCUAGUUGGCGGGGUAAAGGCCCACCAAGGCGACGAUCCGUAGCUGGUCUGAGAGGAUGAUCAGCCACACUGGAACUGAGACACGGUCCAGACUCCUACGGGAGGCAGCAGUGGGGAAUAUUGGACAAUGGGCGCAAGCCUGAUCCAGCCAUACCGCGUGGGUGAAGAAGGCCUUCGGGUUGUAAAGCCCUUUUGUUGGGAAAGAAAAGCAGCAGGUUAAUACCCCGCUGUUCUGACGGUACCCAAAGAAUAAGCACCGGCUAACUUCGUG
rnacentral:rRNA from 1 species